rnacentral:rRNA from 1 species
AUUGAACGCUGGCGGCAUGCUUUACACAUGCAAGUCGAACGGCAGCGCGGGCUUCGGCCUGGCGGCGAGUGGCGAGCGGGUGAGUAAUACAUCGGAACGUGCCCAGUAGUGGGGGAUAGCUCGGCGAAAGCCGGAUUAAUACCGCAUACGACCUGAGGGUGAAAGCGGGGGAUCUUCGGACCUCGCGCUAUUGGAGCGGCCGAUGGCAGAUUAGCUAGUUGGUGGGGUAAAGGCCUACCAAGGCGACGAUCUGUAGCUGGUCUGAGAGGACGACCAGAGAGAGUGGAAUUGAGACAAGGGGCAGACCCCGACGGGAGGCAGCGGGGCGGAUGUUUGGAGAACGGGCGGAAGCAUGCUCCAGUGAGGCGGCGUGGGAGAUGAAGGCCUUCGGGUUGUAAAGCACUUGUGGCGGGAACGAAAAGAACCGUGCGAAUCUCCCGGCUCGAGGACGGUAACAGCAGAAGAAGCACCGGCUAACCUCGUG